rnacentral:rRNA from 1 species
UACGUAGGGUGCGAGCGUUGUCCGGAAUUAUUGGGCGUAACGAGCUCGUAGGCGGUGUGUCGCGUCGGCCGUGAAAACCUGGGGCUUAACUCUGGGCGUGCGGUCGAUACGGGCAUCACUGGAGUUCGGCAGGGGAGACUGGAAUUCCUGGUGUAGCGGUGAAAUGCGCAGAUAUCAGGAGGAACACCGGUGGCGAAGGCGGGUCUCUGGGCCGUGACCUGACACUGAGCCACGACGGCGUGGGGAGCAAACGGG